rnacentral:misc_RNA from 1 species
AAGUCGUAACAAGGUCUCCGUAGGUGAACCUGCGGAGGGAUCAUUACUGAGUUUUUAACUCUCCAAACCAUGUGAACUUACCACUGUUGCCUCGGUGGGAUGGUGCUGCUUCGGCGGUGCCAGACCACCGGUGGACUACUAAACUCUUGUUAAUUUUUGUCAAAUCUGAAUCAUAACUAAGAAAUAAGUUAAAACUUUCAACAACGGAUCUCUUGGUUCUG